rnacentral:rRNA from 1 species
UACGAAGGGGGCUAGCGUUGUUCGGAAUUACUGGGCGUAAAGCGCAUGCAGGUGGAUCGCUAAGUCAGGGGUGAAAUCCCGGGGCUCAACCCCGGAACUGCCUUCGAUACUGGGUAUCUUGAGUUCGGAAGAGGUGAGUGGAAUUGCGAGUGUAGAGGUGAAAUUCGUAGAUAUUCGCAGGAACACCAGUGGCGAAGGCGGCUCACUGGUCCGAUACUGACGCUGAGGUGCGAAAGCGUGGGGAGCAAACAGG